UACGUAGGGUGCGAGCGUUGUUCGGAUUCAUUGGGCGUAAAGGGUGCGUAGGUGGCGCUGUAAGUCGGGUGUGAAAUUUCGGAGCUUAACUCCGAAACUGCAUUCGAUACUGCGGUGCUCGAGGACUGGAGAGGAGACUGGAAUUCAUGGUGUAGCAGUGAAAUGCGUAGAGAUCAUGAGGAAGACCAGUGGCGAAGGCGGGUCUCUGGACAGUUCCUGACACUGAGGCACGAAGGCCAGGGGAGCAAACGGG
rnacentral:rRNA from 1 species